CUAAGAAAGAGUCAUUAUUUAAAAAUUUUAAAGAUUGAAUCCUUAGCUUUUGAUAGGAUCCACUGAUUAUUUAAUUAUUUUUUCCCUAAGAACUCACGCUUAAGAAUUCCCAUUGCGGAUGCCCUAAUAGUUACCAUAUCCUCAAUUAUAUUUGGUUUUGGGUCAAGACAAAAUGUAUUGUUAGAUUCUUUUUAUGUGCAAUGUAUAUUAUGUUUCUUCACCACAUAGUUGUAAGAUGGGUCGACAAAUGAGGUUGAAUAUGUUUAUUGGGUAUAAAUCUUUGAUAUGAUUAAAUACCUAGAGCCAUCCAAAGGAUAUUUAUUAAGACUCGAUUUAUAGACUAAUAUUUUAAUGAGUUAGUUUUCCAACAUUAGGAAAAGAAAAUGAUCAGACGAAAAAAAAAUCAAUUAUCAUUGAUCCUGAGUCUAAAACAAUGUAAAAUUAGGCAUUCAUUUAUAUCUUAUACAAUAAAACAGACUUGUUCCUCUCCUCGUUAACCCACGUCAGCAUGGAGAGAGGAGCAUUUUGUGCCACCUGGACGCCUCUCUUUAUUCUUCAAAAGCUGUUCUCGAGUUAUGUUGAAUGGGCUGUGAGAAUAACAAGUGCACAUAUCAGGCCUAUUACUUGCUUAAAAUUUUCUAAAAUAUUGCAAAACUGGACUAUGUAGUUAGGGCCCACUUUCAAAUUUGUAGGUUGCUUACCUUUCUAAACCUACCAUCGGAGAUGAUGUAUCGUCGCGUAAACAACACUUCCCCUUCACAGUCGAGGUAUAUAAACACACCUCCCGAGAGAUCCUUCGAUCAUGGCGAAUUCUCCAAAUCAGAGCUCAUGUUCUAUCUCACAGAAAACCCUCGAUCAUGGCGACUUCUCUAUUUAUUUUUGCGAGUUUAAGACAUGCGGAUGCAGCCAGACCAUUCAGACCAGACUGCGUCGAUUUUAGGAGACCCGAAAUGUACUGAAAGGGGACGACCUAAUGGAUGUUGAUAUGCUUCUCAUUGAUGAAAAAGGUGUGCCGGUUCCUUAUUCCAAUUACUACUUUAAGAUUUAUGGCUUUUGAUGUUGGAGAGCACUCCAUGAUAAUUAAAUUUGUUAAGUUGCUGGUGAUUUUAGCAGGACUACCAUAUCUAACCAUUAAAAUUUAUUACUACUCGGGCUGUGUACUUCUGUAGUGGGGGGAUCUUUGUCCUCCAGAAUAUCUUCAUUAUGGGCUUCCAUCAUUUUCUAUAUACUCAUUUUACAUCUCCCAUAUGGAAAUAUGCUGGAAUGCACAGAUGGCAAGUGGAGCUUCAGUAGAGUUGCACAAUACUUCCGAAACAGUUAGAGAUUCUCUAUUUUUCCCUGAACCCUACUUGAGUCUGAAGGCAUGGACAUGUAAACAGACUAAGAGAGAGUUAUGUGUAUUUAUGUUGGAGACCCACAUAUUCAGAAGCAAGAGCUGUAAAAUUAAGAUCCAAUGUUUUUAUAGUAUUCGUAUCAAAGUACGCUCUUUAUUCUUUGCUUAUGUCACUACAGAUAAAAUCUUGGUCUGGACCAUCUGCUACUAAGUCUGAGAACCUGUUUUCCGAGUCUAAGAAUUCAAGACCUAGACACGGCCGCCACCUCUUUGUUGAUGGCCCUUCGACUUUGUAAUCAAUAGAGGCUAAGAAAGCCAUGGUUCCUGACAAACUCGCUGAGCUUUGGGUCGUUGACCCUGAGAGAUCUAAAAGACGAUCAUGGCUGGUUUAUAGUAACAGCACUGCAACCAAAAUAACGAGUGCAUCGAGUCAGAAUGACCCGCACCAAGUCGUGUGGAACGGCAAUCCUACAAAACUUUGUCCCAACUGUCAUCACGUCAUUGACAACAGAAGUUGAUGACUGGCCAGGCUUGCCUCAAGGUGUGAAAUUCGAUCCCUCUGAUCCAGAGAUCAUCUGCCAUUUGCUUGCAAAAUCUGGAUUGUUGGGUUUAAGCUCCCACCCUUUCAUUAAUGAGUUCAUCACAACUGUCAAUCAAGAUGAUGGAAUCUGUUCGCACAUCCUAAAAACUUACCAGUCUAGCCAUUUCAGUGAUCGUACCAGUUCUUCCAAGUUUUAUCUUAAUCCGAUUUUUUUUUUAAAACAAAUCGAGGCCUUAAGCACGACGGGACUGCGUCCCACUUUUCAAUAGAGCUAUCAAAACUUACAGCGCAUGAACUAACCAGUUGUAUUGGAUGGUGCGUUUAGUCACUGCCAUGGUAUCCAGUACAUGUUGGUCCAACACUACAAAACGUUGAUGCCUGCUUUUUAACUUUCCACUCUCUCCAACAACACCUCUUCUCUUUUUCUGCUUACUGCUAGAACCUUAUCUCCAGAGUGUCGUUGUGUUUAUCUUUUCGUACUCCAUUUCUUGAAGGAAAGUGAACGGUGUGCAAAACAUGCCUUUAAUGUCGAUGGAGAAGUCUCACGAGGAAGAGCAUUCGCACAUUUUCUUUCAGGUGGUUAUGUUUGACGUUUCAGUAAGUACAAGUAUGCUCAGCUAAUGAUUGCUAGCCGAAUGAGUUAUUCAUUCAUUGUUGUGCAGUUUUUUGCCUCAUGUUUUAGUACUUUUUCAUGAGCGAAGUGGCCUCAAUAUUUACAGUUCAUAAGGGCAGCUAGAUUUAACACCGAAGUGAUAUUGAAUGACAAGGUAUCAUAGCGAAUCAUUAGUCUUU